AAGUCGUAACAAGGUUUCCGUAGGUGAACCUGCGGAAGGAUCAUUAAUGCUAACUUUCCACUUGAGGAAUUGAGGCUUACCAGCCACAUUCCAACAAGCGUGAAACGUGUAACUCUUUAUCUUAAACGCUUAAGGAAAACUUUUUAUUAAGUUUUUCCCUAACGUACCAAGUAACUUGAGAAGGCCUUUGCUGUUUUUUCGGAGAUAGCAAAGUGUUUUUCUCUCAUUUUUUUUACUACCAUAAUUACCCUAUUAACUUAUAAACUAUUAGACUGAUAUAAAAUAACAUUUAUUUUAUAAAUGUAUGAUACAACUCUUAGCAAUGGAUAUCUAGGCUCUU
rnacentral:misc_RNA from 1 species